CCGCGCCGGACGCCGAAUCCUGUCACCGGUGGUGGAAACGCAGCACUUCCGUGUGACAGGAGCGGGGGAACCACUUUCCGCCGGAGCGUGUAUUCCGCGCACCGGCUCGGGGUUAAGUCACCGCCGAACGCGGUCCGCCGUGACCGUAUUCGACGGUGGCCGGGCAUCUCCGGCCCGAACCCGACAGCUCACCUCGCAGGCGAUGGAGAGGAGCACA
rnacentral:sRNA from 2 species